rnacentral:rRNA from 1 species
AUUGAACGCUGGCGGCAGGCCUAACACAUGCAAGUCGAGCGGAUGACGGGAGCUUGCUCCUUGAUUCAGCGGCGGACGGGUGAGUAAUGCCUAGGAAUCUGCCUGGUAGUGGGGGACAACGUUCCGAAAGGAGCGCUAAUACCGCAUACGUCCUACGGGAGAAAGUGGGGGAUCUUCGGACCUCACGCUAUCAGAUGAGCCUAGGUCGGAUUAGCUAGUUGGUGAGGUAAAGGCUCACCAAGGCGACGAUCCGUAACUGGUCUGAGAGGAUGAUCAGUCACACUGGAACUGAGACACGGUCCAGACUCCUACGGGAGGCAGCAGUGGGGAAUAUUGGACAAUGGGCGAAAGCCUGAUCCAGCCAUGCCGCGUGUGUGAAGAAGGUCUUCGGAUUGGAAAGCAAUUUAAGUUGGGAGGAAGGGCAGUAAGUUAAUACCUUGCUGUUUUGACGGUACCGACAGAAUAAGCACCGGCUAACUCUGUG